rnacentral:lncRNA from 1 species
UUUGCUACCAACCUUAAACUUGUUUAAGGUUUCUUUAAGAAGCAAAUUUUCAUUUUUUAUUGCUUCUAAAUGCUCACACUUAGAGCAUGGAGGAGUUUGAAGACUAUCAAACUUAUCUUGUAGCAAAGCAUGCUCUUUCUUUAAGAUACUUAACUUCUUGCUAACAGUUCUACAUUCAUCAAAUAAUUCAUGAAAAGCGAUAGAGAGUUCUUCAAAAGAUAAAU